GUACUUAUUCCUUCCUUGAUUCCAGGAGCUGCCUUCUUGGAUCCUUGAUCAGCAUGAAAAGAGGGAGCCUGCCUGGCAUUCCUGGUCUUUUGUACCUCCCAGGAUCUUCAGUAAAAGAUGCUGAGGUUGGAGAUCCAAAUUGCCCAAUCCGUUUAUGCCUGCAGCGGCCGGAGGAGCACAUACAGGGCGUCCUCGCAGAAAUAAAUGUGCUGCCAAAUAUUUUUGGUUGAUUUUGUUUUUUGUUAACAACAAAUUUAUUAUUUUUUACAAAAAGUAAACAAAUAUCUCAAAACA